GCCCGUUUAGCUCAGUGGUAGAGCGCGCCACUCGUAUACGAUAUACGUCACUUCGAAAUUCGAAUGGAGCCAUGGUGAGGUCGGUUGUUCAAUCCAGCCAAUGGGCA